UUUUUCUUAUACAACAAAAAGAAAAGAGAAAUGCUAGUAUACAAGUGUAUAUGACCACUUCAUUCCACUAGAGCACUAACUAGUAACUAUUAACCACUACCAUCUUCUUCACAAAGCAAAAAAUGCAACAAAGGUCAAAGAGACAAGACCCACAAAUAGACACAUGAUAUCCAUUCUCCUUUCUACCCUCUUCUUUCUUUCCUCCCUCUCUUUUUUCUUCUUCACAAAUUCCCUAUAACCUUCUCCCUCCCCAACUCCCUUCCAUUUCCUCCCACCUUCCAACGCUUUCUGUAAAAUUACCAAACUAUCCCUUCCAUUUACAUGUUUCCCAUCCAUAUCCUCCACUUGCAAACUAACCUCUCUAACUUCCAUACUCUCUUCAGCCAACAUCACCACCACACUACACAACGCCACCUCCAACGCCGUCGCUGUUUCUCCGUAAACCACCGUUGUGAACCGCGCCUUCACCUCUCCACUCAGCCAGUGCCGCUGCACAGCCACCGCCUUCCUGCUUGACACGUUCACCGCCCGAUGACUUGCCGGAUCAAUCAAUAUCCAGCUCAGUCUCAGCUCCUCCCCAAGAUCAUGACAUGUGACAUUAUUUUCAUCACCAACAACUGGAUAUUUUAUCACAUCCUUUGUAUCAAGUAGGUCAACACGAAACGGAGAGCACCGGAACCACCCAGUCACAGUCUCAGUUUCAACUACUUUAGAAAACACUAAACCCUCACGGUGGAAAAUAUCAACGGCUGAGAUUAAACUUAGGGUUUCGUCAUGAUUUGUUAAAGUCAUAUCCCUUUGAUGAUGAGAGGAGAAAGAGUCUGCAAAGAAAGAGCGGAAGCCAUUUGGGAAGUUUGAGAUUACUUGCUGAACACGUUCAGUGUUGGUGGAAGGCCAAGUGGAGUGGCACAUGUUAGCCCAUAGAUGUUCAUUGGUACAUAGAGAGUUGAAUUGGGAGCAGGUGCUUGCGGCGGAAGCAAGAGCAGGACCGUCGAGACGGGUGAGUAUGUGUGUUUGGAUUAUGUCGGAGUGGACGGCGGCGAUUGUGGUUGUUUCCUCCGCCUCUGACUCGCCGGAAAUGCAGAUCAUAGUAGCGUAUAAAUAGAUAUAUUUUGUAGGGUUUUAGCUUUGUGCACUACUUAUAUGUGUACUUGUGAAAUGAGAAAUGAUGGAUACUUAAUACUUAUAGUGUAUAGUGUGAGUUAAGGUGCAAGUUGAAAUGAAUGAUUAUUUCAUUUUCAUUUUCUUCAAUCCACUAUCUAGCACUUGAUUAAUGGUCCCACUUGGAUCAUGGUUGACGCACGAUUUUGAC
rnacentral:lncRNA from 1 species